rnacentral:rRNA from 1 species
CUGGCGGCAGGCCUAACACAUGCAAGUCGAGCGCGCCUUCGGGCGAGCGGCGGACGGGUUAGUAGCGCGUGGGAACGUGCCCAGAUCUACGGAAUAGCCACUGGAAACGGUGAGUAAUACCGUAUACGCCCUUCGGGGGAAAGAUUUAUCGGAUUUGGAUCGGCCCGCGUUAGAUUAGGUAGUUGGUGGGGUAACGGCCUACCAAGCCUACGAUCUAUAGCUGGUUUUAGAGGAUGAUCAGCAACACUGGGACUGAGACACGGCCCAGACUCCUACGGGAGGCAGCAGUGGGGAAUCUUGGACAAUGGGGGCAACCCUGAUCCAGCCAUGCCGCGUGAGUGAAGAAGGCCCUAGGGUCGUAAAACUCUUUCGCCUGUGAUGAUAAUGACAGUAGCAGGUAAAGAAACCCCGGCUAACUCCGUGCCAGCAGCCGCGGUAAUACGGAGGGGGUUAGCGUUGUUCGGAAUUACUGGGCGUAAAGCGCACGUAGGCGGAUUAGAAAGUUAGAGGUGAAAUCCCGGGGCUCAACCCCGGAACUGCCUUUAAAACUACUAGUCUAGAGUUCGAGAGAGGUGAGUGGAAUUCCGAGUGUAGAGGUGAAAUUCGUAGAUAUUCGGAGGAACACCAGUGGCGAAGGCGGCUCACUGGCUCGAUACUGACGCUGAGGUGCGAAAGUGUGGGGAGCAAACAGGAUUAGAUACCCU